GCAGAGUAGGGGAUCAGGCGUUAAGUGCCGGCUGGACAGGGAGUUGCCAGCUGGACGAAAAAGAGUUUCUUUGCGGUCGGUUCCCCGCAUCCCGCUGC
rnacentral:ncRNA from 1 species